UAUGUAUACUUUCAUUUCACUCAAAUGGUUCACCAUAUGGAUAACAUCAUAGCUUUCAAUUGAAUUCUGUGUUAGAGAAAACAUCAAAUUCAUUAUAUACAUAACAUCAUAGCUUUCAAUUGAAUUCUGUGUUAGAGAAAACAUCAAAUAAUAGAUUGCCAAAUUGUGUUUGUAUCUCAUUCAUAUACGCAAAUUUCACCCAUUUUCCCAAUCAAAGGGAAAAAGGAAAAUAUUUACAAGAUGCCUAUAUUCUACAAAAUCUCAAUACUAAUCUAUGUUACUCUCUUGCAGUUGCACAUUUAUAGACCAUUCAAGCUACAAGUAAUAUGCAAGAAACACAUGUUCCGUGCAAGGAAUUGUGACACCGCCCAUUCGAUGAUCAUAUCUGAAUUCUUCUUUUAAUGAUGAUGUUUGGCUAUUGCUAAAUGAUGCCCGUCUUAUAGCUGCAGGUAAACGGAAACCCAUUUCAAAUGUUUUGAACAACAAACAAUCUAAAGCUCUCAAAAUUUAUGGGAAAAAAAAGGUAUCUAUCUUUUGAUGCUUGAGUAAGUAAGUGAUUUGUGAAUGUGAUGGAUGUGAAGGAAAGUUGUGUAUUUUUAUAGUCUUCAUUCGAGAGUUUCUUGAAAUCCUCUUCUCUGUGAAAUUAAUUAUUGUUAAAGAAUGGUGUCCAUGAGAUGAGAGAUCCACAUGCUAUUGUCUUUUAAUGUCUCUCCAUCACUUUCUCAAUAAAAGGAUUAACCACUUGGAAGUCAAUUUGCUACUCAUACUUUUGUAGACAUGUCACAUGUUCUCUUCAUAUCGAUAAUGCGCUUCAAUACCCGUAUAUAGCUACCCACCAAUAAUUCUCUUGUUAGCGUGUAUUAUAAUGGUUAGUUGGCUACAAAUCUUCAAUAUUAGGGAGGCUACAUUGAACACAUAUAGAGGGCUUGGUCAUUAGUCAUGCUGCUGACCAGAAGGUACAUAGCAAUUGAACAACAGUUCCAAAAAGAGAUAAGUAUAUGUUUGGAGUUUGGACCCACAACUACCAGUAACAAAAAUAUGCUAUUCUGAAUAUUCAAUUUCAAGUCAACAGUCCUAUAUAUCUGCAGUCUUCUGAAUAUGUCUAGCAGCAACUCCGCUGUCCAAUGAUUUGUUUUCUGCAUAUAAGAAUAAUUAGCCAGUAGAACCUUCUUAAUUCAUGAAAUUCUCUUAGGAAUAAUUAGCUUGUAGGAUAAGGCACGACGUUUUUUCCUACUCAAGUAUCAGGAGCCAUGAAUAAGUGCCAAACUAGGUUACUGCUGCUUUCAAGUAUCAGACCAUGUCAAGUUCUCCGUUUAAAACCGAUAAGAUAUACAAGGAAACAGCAGGCUAAUCAAGAGAUCAUUGCAUAGACUGGACGAGUUUCUAGCCUUUAGGAACUUUCAAAUUUCUAAAUGAGAUGAGAUUAUUUGAUACUUGAAAUUCAUGUUUUACUACUAUUCUUUUUGUAGAUUAUGGCUGUUAGUGGGAGACUUUUCAUAAUUUGAUGGGAUUGGCUUCUGUUUUAAAAUCUAACUAAUUGUGUGUCUAUGAUAUUAAUACAUGCUAUGUGCAGACUCUAUUUAGUCAUGCAGCAGACUCUGUUUAGUCAUGCAGUUCAGCCCCCGAAACAUGUGAGCUGAAACUUUUAUUGUCUAGUUAGUCUCUUCACUAAAAGUAUAUUUUUAAUUUAAGUGAAUACUCCAAUGCAAGCAGUUCAUGUCUUCAUGAUAAUCUUUUGAUUAGAAAAAUACAUAAUAAUAUACACUUUUAUGAAUGGUGGAGGAUGCUAGGAGCUUAAAGUAAAGGGUUGCCUCUAACUGAGUGCAUCUGCUGAUUGAGUACACAGGAAGGUCCUUGCGAUUUCCGUCUCUACCACCUUCGUUAAACAUCAAAGGAAAAAUGCAACAUACAAAAUUAUUGUAUCUAUUGCACAUUGAAGCGAGAAGUAAUAUGCAAGAAAACAUCUUCCGUGCAAGAAAUUGUGAGGCCGCCCAUUGGAUGAUCAUAUCCAAACUCCUCCUCUGCUUGACUCAAUAAGUUUUGAAAUGAAGUUUGGUUCAAAUAUGACACGGGGAUAACAAACCGCUUCCUUUCCUCUCCGACGUACACUGCAAGAUACCCCUUUGGCACAUUCAAUGCUUUUGAGGAUGUUUGGAUACUGCUAGGUGAUGACCGUCUAAUAGCUGCGGGUAAACGAAAACCCAUUUCAAAUGUUUUGAAGAAAAAACUGAAUUUCUCAGAUGUAAGAAAAAUGUAUCUGUGUUUGAUUGCUUGAGUGAUUUGUGAUGGUUGUGAGAAGGACACUAUAUUUAUAGUUUCCAAGAGUUUCUUGAAAUACCUUUGCUAGAGAAAUUAUUUAUAUAAUGAUGGGGGCCAUGAGAUGAGAGAUCACAUGGUGUUGUCUUCGACGCCUUUGUCAAAGAUCGACUAGUUCGAUAAGAGUGCCAACCACUCCUUCUUAAUGAAAGGCUCAUAACUCUGCUUGUAUGAUGCCUACUCAUUUCUUUUCAGACAUGCAUCAAACAUGGCACAUGUUAUCUUCACAGUGAUCACAUAAUGUUGAUAUCUUAAGUGAAGAAUUUUGAGAAA